AGCUGUCAGUCAAGAUUCCACAAACACACACUCUCUCCCCGAAACGCCUCCUCAUCUCUUGAUGAACCGCCUGGCCCGCUACAGGAUUUUCACGAAAACGUCGACCGCAGACUACGCAGCACCACGAACGACAGCGAAAUUCGGACGGAGGGAACCCGAAACGAUGGCCUCAGCGUCGUGACAGCGACGUCGACGACGUUUCCCGAGUCGGACACACGGUUUUGAUCUUGAAGGACUUUGGGAGCAUGAAAUAGCAAUGACUGCGGUGUCACUUGUUUGAUAGAAAGACGGAGAGGGGGGGCCAAAGUGGACCUCCCCCCUCAGCACACAGCCCUCCACCAGGCAGAGGCGUUCCGUUCGAUGGAGUCUAACGGGACCUUUGCAGGGAGCUCCAGGCCCGAAAUGUCACCUGGGAAACGUCGACAACCAGCAAACCUUUCAGUGUUUUAACGGGUUUUCCCUAAAAAAAAAAAACUUUUUAGAAAGCCUGUAAAAAAGUUAGCAGGUCAUCGUUAGUCGCACCAAACAUGACUGUCGAUGUCACCUAACGAGAAUUUUACUCGCCACCUCUGGUUAGACAGGACAGGUGAACGGCGGAUUUUAAAGCCCGUUUAUUGAAUUUGAGAGUUUUACUUUUAUUUUUUAUUUUUUUGACCUCCAGGAGAACUAUCAAAAUUUUCUCAUCAGGUUUCGCCUCCUCCAGUAACCAUGUCACUCAAAGACAACGCCUGCAAAAAAUUCCAAGCCAACAUUUUCAACAAAAGUAAAUGUCAGAACUGCUUCAAACCCAGAGAGUCCCAUCUACUCAACGACGAAGACUUAAAUCAGGCUAAACCUAUGUAUGGAGGAUGGCUUCUGCUGGCUCCCGAAGGAACAAAUUUUGACAAUCCCUUACACAGAUCUCGAAAAUGGCAGAGAAGGUUCUUUAUCCUCUAUGAACACGGCUUGCUUCGUUAUGCUCUGGAUGAAAUGCCCAGCACUCUACCCCAGGGUACGAUCAAUAUGAACCAGUGCUCCGAUGUCAUCGAUGGCGAAUCCAGGACGGGUCAGAAGAACUCGCUGUGCAUCCUCACCCCUGAGAAAGAGUACUUCAUACGGGCCGAGUGUAAAGAAAUCAUCAACGGGUGGCAGGAGGCUCUGACCGUUUAUCCCCGGACCAACAAGCAGAACCAGAAGAAAAAACGUAAAGUCGACACCCACACCCAGCAGGAUGGAGUUACUUCAAGCCAGUGUAUUUCCACUGCGGACAUGAAUGGACACCCUGAGCCCGGGCCCGCCAAGGUAACGGUGACCAGCAGCAGCGGCGGCAGCAUCCCAUGCCUGCCCAGCAGCAUUGCCGGAGCCGAGCGAGUCCCAACGAGCCGUGCCAUCCUGUGGCAGGAGGAGAGCCACUGGAGCCGGGCCACCAUCCCCUGCAGCCGCAGCGCCUCCUGCCUCAGCCAGAUGAGCCAGAGACCACCGGACUCCAGUGUGUCCAGUCACGAUGAUGGAGGAACUGAAAGCACUGGACGGAAAGUUCGAGUAGAGAGCGGUUACUUUUCCUUGGAAAAGACGAAAUCAGAGCCUUCUCCUCAUACCGUCCAUCCAUACCAGCCGCCUCAACACCUGCCCCUGUCCUCUUCAGCAUCGUCCUCCUCUUUAGGAGCCUCCAGUACCAGGUACAGCCCUGAAUCCGAAGCUCAAACUUCCCCUCACCAGUCCUCCCAAGACCUUCCCUCACCAGGUGCACUUCUCUCCCUGAGCUACUCCACCAUCAGCUCCUCCCAGAGCUCGCUGGACUCUGAAACCAGUAGAGCCACGCUCACCUGGGAGGGGAGCAAUGGCGGCGAGGAGCUCCUUAAUAAUGUCAGUGUUAGAGGAGGAGGAGGAAGCAGGGUCGGACGCGCUGGCAGGGAUUAUGCGGUGCUGUCGGAUGUGCCACGCGCUCGCCGACUGAGCUAUAAAGAGGCUUUCCGCUCCGAGAAAAAGCGUCAAGAGCUGAGAGCCCGAACAAGAAGCCCUGGGAGGGAGGAGGUGGCUCGAUUGUUUGGGGAGGAGCGCAGGCGGUCUCAAGUCAUCGGUCAGUUUGAGGAUGGUCAGCAUGUUGAGCGGAUGGACACGAGCGGCUCGAAUGACCCAUCAGCUAAAACCGCACAAAUCCAGAGACAAGGCCGCAGCGAGAGGCGCUAUCUGGACGCCAAGCAGGAGAUGUCACUGGAUACAGGGAAGGACUGUUUAGCCUCGGAGGUUUCCAGCUCCAGUUUUGCCAACCUAAGAAGAGCGAAAUCUUUGGAUCGCAGAAUCACAGAGUCAUCAAUGACUCCGGAUUUGCUAAACUUCAAAAAAGGAUGGAUGACGAAGCUUUAUGAAGAUGGAGUGUGGAAAAAACACUGGUUUGUCCUCACAGACCAGAGUUUGAAGUACUUUAAGGACUCAAUAGCUGAAGAGGCCUUAGAAAUGGAUGGUGAAAUUGACCUUUCUACGUGUUACGAUGUCAAAGAGUUUCCAGUCCAGAGGAAUUACGGCUUCCAAAUCCUCUGCAAGGAGGGAGCGUGCACCCUGUCAGCCAUGACCUCUGGCAUCCGCCGCAACUGGAUUCAGGCCAUUAUGAAGAAUGUGCGACCCACUAUUGCCCCUGACGUCACCCGGAAAAACAUCUCUCUGAAACUAUCCGUUCUGAAGCCAAGAUCUGUUCCUGAUGAGAAGAUCAAAGGUGAUGUGACUUUGGAGCCGUGUCCUCAGAGCACGCCUGACCCGCCCCCCCGCCCCGAAGUGUCCAUGUCCGACGGGCCCAGACAGGAACAAGUCCGCAACGCCGCCGCUCCCGUCUCGGAGCCACGCAAGAGCAGAGUACGCGAGCGCAGACGAGAGGGCCGCUCUAAAACCUUCGACUGGGCCGAGUUCAAGAUGGAACAGACGGAGAAGCCGCCAAAAGAACGAGCCGACACAGUCGACUUCAGCUCCUCGUGCUCCACCGCCUCCUCCUUCUGCUCCCCGUCUUCCUCUGCGUCCUCGCUGGCGUCCUCUCCGGUCUCCUCCUCAUCCAUGCAAACCUCGUCCGUAUCAGUUCAUCCACCUCCAAUAACACCGGAAAUGGAGAAGGAAAACAUUAGGAGAACUGCUCCAGCUCCAGCAGUGAAAGGGAAGGCUGAUGGUCAGGAACAAGGGAAGAUGGAGCUCGAUCAUCCGAACGCUCUUUGUCAAAGUGGUGAAGAGAAAAGCAGCAGCGACACGUCAAACGUGCAAGAAGAGAUCGAGCAGCGAUGGCAUCAGGUGGAAACGACACCUUUAAGAGAAGCCAAGCAGGUUCCCAUCACCACGACGUUCAAAAACUCUGAGCGACUUCCUGCUCAUGAGCUCGCAGCGCUGCUGGACAAAGAGUUGGGGCAAAAGCAAAAGGAGCUGGAGCAGCUACAGGAGCAGAACAACUUCUUAAAAGAGCAGCUGGAGGACGCUUUAGGGAGAGAACAAAAUGCCCGAGAGGGUUAUGUACUGCAGAGUGCAUCGCCUCCCUCCUCCUCCUCGCCUCGUAGAGUGCCGUGGCAGCACUUGCACAAGCUCAACGAAGACUUGCAGAGUGAACUGGAGUCCCAAAAGGUCAAGCAAGACCUCGCUCAGCAGCAAAUGCGCACCCUGAAGAGAAGCUACACCGAAGCUCAGGACGCCGUAAACCGCCACGAGGCCGACAUUCAAGCUCUGCAGGCUAAGCUCGCCUCCGCCAUGGCGGAAAUCUUAGUCGGCGAGCAGGCUGUGGCCCGAAUGCGAAACGAACUCAAGUCGGAGCAGGAGCGCUCCAAAGAACAAGAGGAGGAAUACUGGCGCAAUGAGGCCACCUUAAGAGCACAGCUGAAGGACAGUGAAGAUCGACUCCGGGAAGUGGAAGCCAGCCUUUUGGAGAGAAACCAAGCGCUCAGACACCUGGAGCGGCAGCAGGCCCUGCAGCGAGACCACAUGCGAGAGGUGCAGAGGUUACAGGAGAGGCUGCAAGAGGUCACUGCUCGGUUAGUCGCUACGGAAGAGGCCCAACUCCUGAAGGAGGAGCGCCUCAAGAAGGAGCAGCACAGCAUGCAGGAGAGUCACGAGAGGGAACGGCAGGGUUUGUGUAGAAGGUUAGCCGAGGCUGAACGUGCGCACAAAGACGCGGAGGACAGGCUGUUGGAGGCGGAGCAACAGGUGGAGGCCUUGCUGAGAGGGAGGCGGGCCUCUGCGAGUCAGGAGUUUGAAGAGGAAAUGUUAAAGUUAAAAGAAGAUCUGGCCCAAAAGGCCGACAUGGUCGAGUCACUGAGGGAAAGUGUGAGGCGGCUGGAAGAAGAAAGAGGACGCCUCACCUGCCGGUGUCAGGAGCUUCUCAACCAGAUCACCGAAGCAGACCGGGAGGUCAACAAACUUCGAAACCGCCUGGAAGCUGAAGAAGCGGAUUAUUGCAACCUGGAACACUCGUACGACAGAGUCACUCAAGAGUUCCAGAAAAUUAGCCAGAUUCUUAGAGAAAAAGAGGAAGAGAUCCAGCAAACGAAGGAGAUGUAUGAACGGCUGAUGGAACGCAAAGAGGAAGAUCUGAAAGAAGCUCUGGUGAAGAUGAGCGCUCUCGGCUGCAGCUUAGAGGAAACAGAGCAGAAGUUACAAGUCAAAGAGGAACUUCUCUGUCAAAUGAGUGAAAGUCUUUUACACAACGCUGAGCCCUGCGACGCCGAAAAAGAUCUGCAGGCCAAGCUCGUGGUCGCAGAAGAUCGCAUUGCAGAGCUGGAACUUCACCUCCGAGAUCUCCAGUUGGACUACGCUGACCUGCGCAUGGAAAGGGAGAAAUCCCACUCGUCCUCAAACGCAGAGCUCACCUCAGAUGAGUCAUCAAAAUCUGGUGAAAUGGAGUCUCAAGCCAAGAAACCGAGGAUUCGCUUUUCAAGUAUUCAGUGCCAAAAAUACAUCAACUUUGAGGAAAUCGAUGCCAGCAGCCUCCCCGGAGAACCUAAAGAUGACCGCCCAGCAGCUGAGGAAAACUGCGAUAUCGCUCUUUCACAGUCCAGUGACCCGGAGAAGUUCAUCUCCAUCAUUCAUGCCCUCGAAACGAAGCUCCUCAUCACGGAGGAGAAGCUGAGAAAUCUCACAAAGAGUCUCGAUGUUCAAGAAUGCUCCCAAGUAGAAGAGAUAUCUACAACUGAGCCUCCCGUUAGUGAGGUCGCGUCUGUAAAGCAUUUCUCCAAGGCCCUGGUUUACGUUGAGAGCAGCCGAGAGAAAGUGAGCAGCAUUCUGAGCGGCGCCGACUCACGUUUGCACUUAUUGUCAGAAAUAGAGAACGACUUGUUUAGUGCGUCGCUUCACAUUCGACAAGGCCAAAAAGAGGAAAAACACAAGUCAGAGUUAGAGAGCGAGACCGCUGAGAGUACAGAUGCAGACGAACUCCAGCUCUUUACCAAAACUUUAUCUUUUGAGGCGACCAUUCUCAACAAAAUGGCCACGCUGAUUCAAACCUCAAAAUCUGACCUGCUGAAAGCUCUUGUUGAGAUUUGGGAGGACGUCGAUUAUUCUAAAAGGACCGACAAGGAUUCAAUAGCUUUAGUUUACGCCAGCGCGUUGUCUAGGAAGCUGAUGCUGGAGAGCACGUUCUGGAAGGAGCUGGAGAACGCCGAAACACACGUAAAAGCCAAAGAAAGCGGCGCCGAUUUAGACGUCAACGCCUCAGUAGUGUUAAACUCCUGUAUCAAAGCAGAACUAGCAUAUUCUAUUCAGAACCUUAAACUUUGCUAUGAAGAAAAAUUCCAAAUGCUCAAAAGAGAGUUAAGUGAAGUCCACCGUAACCUCCAUGAAAGGGAAGAAGCUCUGAAAGCGAUUAUUGAAGCUUCUAAAAGGCCCGAUCUGCCGAAUGUUAUAAAAGAAGUGAAAAGGACCUUUGGGUUUGGGAAGCACCAGUUAGCAGACAUUCACCCCCCUGAGCUGGCCCCCUACAUGGAGCAAAUUGAAAUGGAAGUAGCCCGAGAUUUGGCCGAGGAAGUUGUGGACAGGCAGCUAGCCGGCGUGCUGUCUUCAUGUGCUGUUGAGUCGGUUCAGUCGUUUGAAAAAGCAUACGACAGCCUCGUAAGUGAACUCCAGCGACAGGCGGCGCUCCUUCAGAGAUACGCGGUGGAAAUCGAAAACACCGGAAGCCACCCCGGGUUGUCUAAAAUGAUCCACAGCGUUCUAGGCCCCCAAACGCCACACGGGUUGACGAGCAGCUCGUUUUGCAUCCGGGAAGCUCUCAUCCAGGCUCAAGUGGCUUACUUAGCAUGUCGGCUACAAGCCGCACAUGAAGAAGAGUUGAGUUUGUGUAAGCAGACCAGUCAGAACAUGGAAGCGCUGGUGCAGCAGCAUGCGCACAACAUCACUGCAAUUCAGGAAAAGUACGAGGAGCGCUUGCAAGAGGAGCGGCAGCACCUGACGGACGCCGUGGUCGCUCUGGAGACGGAGAACGAGGCUCUGAAAAGUGAAAUCGGCAAACGGAUCGACCAGCUCGCUCAGUGGCAGGAGCAGGUGGUUAUGAGGGAGGACCAGUUCCUGAAGGAGGUGGAGGAGCUGAAGCAGAGGCACAAGGAGGAGAUGAACCAAUUAGAACAAGGUCGCGUGACGGCGGAGCUGGCCCUCAUGGACACGGCGGCCGAGAGUCAACGGAAGCUGGAGGUUCUGCUGGUAGACAUGGACGGGAUGGAGGAGCGCCACGAGAGCCACCUGAGAAACCUGGAGGAGCAGUUUGAACAAAAGAUGCACGAAAUGCAGCGAGUCCACAGGGAGGAGAUGGAAAAGUUACAUUCCCAGUAUGAAGAAAGUGCCAAAAAGAACCAAAAAACCCCAGAGAUCACGCUCUCGCCUCCGUGUGAUGAGCCUGCAACACCGAUGGAGGAGGAGGAGCAGGGAAAAGCCGAGGUCGACUCCAUGCUGGUUCUGAAGGACCGCAUUCAGGAGCUGGAGACUCAGAUGGAUAACAUGAGGGACGAGCUGGAGAACAAGCACCUGGAAGGAGACGUGGCCAGCCUGAGAGAGAAAUACCAGAGAGACUUUGAAAGUCUGAAGGCUACCUGUGAGCGCGGGUUUGCCGCAAUGGAAGAAACUCAUCAGAAGGUCGUAGAAGACCUGCAGCGGCAGCAUCAGAGGGAGAUUUCUAAACUCAUGGAGGAGCGAGAGCGACUGCUGGCUGAGGAAACUGCCGCCACCAUUGCUGCCAUUGAAGCCAUGAAGAAUGCUCACAAGGAGGAGCUGGAGAAGACCCAACGCUCCCAACUGAGCGGACUGAACUCUGACAUCGAUGAGCUCCGCCUACAAUACGAGGAGGAGCUUCAAUCAGUCCAGAGAGAGCUGGAGGUGUUGUCGGAGCAGUACUCUCAGAAAUGUCUGGAGAACGCUCACCUAGCUCAGGCGCUGGAGGCGGAGAGGCAGGCCCUCACGCAGUGUCAGAGGGAGAACCAGGAGCUAAACGCUCACAAUCAGGAGUUGAACAACAGACUGUCUGCAGAAAUCACUCGGAUGCGGUCUUGUUUCAGCGGAGAAACAGCGCUGUCUCCACUUACCCAGGGCAAAGACGUGUAUGAGCUGGAGGUGCUUCUACGAAUAAAAGAGUCAGAAAUUCAGUAUCUUAAACAGGAAAUCCACUCAUUGAAGGAUGAACUGCAGUCUGCUUUAAGGGACAAGAAAUAUGCCACGGACAAAUACAAGGACAUCUACACAGAGCUGAGCAUCGUGAAGGCAAAGGCCGACUGUGAUAUCAGCAAGUUGAAGGAGAAGCUGCUGAUGGCGACAGAAGCUUUAGGAGAGAGGGCUGUGGAGGGAAGCGUCACUUCUGGAUAUGACAUCAUGAAGUCGAAAAGUAAUCCAGAUUUUAUGAAAAAAGAACGAUCAACAACACCCAAGACAAUACGAGGACUAAGAUCAAAGUCCGUCACUGAACAGGUCUCAUUGGAUAACUGACUCUCCCAAUCUUGGGGGAUUUUCCCAAACCCCCACUCCCCACCAUGUGCUAGCCUGAAAGAAGGACUAACCGUGCAGGAGAGAUUAAAGCUUUUUGAGGCUAAAGACUCCAGAAAGAUUUGAAUCUCACUAAACCUGACUUUGUUUUUCUUUUUCUUUUGCCUGUGUUUGGUCAGAUCUCCAUGUUUGUGCCUGCAUAUUUUUACAGCAACUGUAUUAAACAAAUCCAUAUCUACAAAAAAACCCCUAAGUUCAUGAAAUAUAUGUCCUGUUUAAUUCACAUAAGAUGUAAUCCAGAGACUAAGCUGUGAAAGGGAGAAAUAACAGCAUUUGAAUCGGUCCUCCAGAAUGCGAUAAACAGCAAUACACAGAAAGAAUAAUAUAUAUUUCCUGAUAAUGACUUAAAUAUCUGCUGUAUUUUAUUAUUGUUACGGUGUCUGUUUUUUUAAUUUUGUUUGAUGUUGUAAAUACCUGCUGGAAAUGUUCCGUUUGGAUGAGGUGCAUCUGCUGUAUUAUACUUAAAGUUCAUUUGAUGGUGGGAAGCAAUGUGAUUCUUGAUUUGUCCAAGAGUUUUAAAGUGAGUGAACGGGGGAAUUAGGGGUUGAGAAUGCACUUAACCAGUUGACUACUUGAGGAAACCUUUUUUUUUGUCAGAGCAAGCAAACAUCAUGACUUGUUUUAGGUAAAUAUCACUUUUUUUUUCUUUGUUUGGCUCUAAAAAACCGCCCAGUUUUACAUUUCCUAAACUGAAACUAUUUAGGACUUUGCAUGCAUCUACAAUUUGAGUUCCUUUUAUCGUUUUUAACAUUUAUAAGCUUUGCAAGUCCUACUGUGUUCAAAGUGUUUUACUGUAAACUGCAGCCGUUUGCUCCACUUCCUGGUUUCUCAAAUCUUUGUGCCUCAGCUGAGUGACAAACAUCAGUAAAACUUCUGCAGCUAUGGAAACACACUGUACAGUAUUCAAACCACGCCUUGUACAUAUGAACAUGCCACGUGAGAGGUUUCUGUAUUGUUUUAAACGUGUACUUUUGCUCAUUAGUUCUAUAUUAAAUGUAUCUGAAUAUUUUUUAUUUCUAUUUGAAUGUAUCACGUCAAAUAAAUGAAGUGUUUGGAAGUAUCCUU